rnacentral:rRNA from 1 species
ACGUAAUAGAUACCCGGGUAGUCCACGCCCUAAACGAUGUCUACUAGUUGUUGGUGGAGUAAAAUCCAUGAGUAAACGCAGCUAAACGCGUGAAGUAGACCGCCUGGGGAGUACGGUCGCAAGAUUAAAACUCAAAUGAAUUGACGGGGGCCCGCACAAGCGGUGGAUUAUGUGGAUUAAAUUCGAUGCAACGCGAAAAACCUUACCUGGCCUUGACAUGUAGCGAACUUUCCAGAGAUGGAUUGGUGCCCGAAAGGGAGCGCUAACACAGGUGCUGCAUGGCUGUCGUCAGCUCGUGUCGUGAGAUGUUGGGUUAAGUCCCGCAACGAGCGCAACCCUUGCCAUUAAUUGCCAUCAUUUAGUUGGGCACUUUAAUGGGACUGCCGGUGACAAACCGGAGGAAGGUGGGGAUGACGUCAAGUCCUCAUGGCCCUUAUGGCCAGGGCUUCACACGUAAUACAAUGGUCGGUACAGAGAGUUGCCAACCCGCGAGGGGUAGCCAAUCUCAGAAAGCCGAUCGUAGUCCGGAUUGUAGUCUGCAAC